ACAGCGUGGCUACUGUGCCAGCUGGUGGAUGGCUCGGCUCGAGCGCCGACGACGGACGUGCCAAGCUGCGAUAAGCCCGAGGAAGCCGCACGGAGGCGAAGAACUCGGGAUCUCCGAAUGGGAAUCCCCACAGCAAUUGCCUUGCGCAAUAGGGAACGUCGAGAAUUGAAACAUCUUAGUAUCGACAGGAAAAGAAAUCGCAAGAGAUGUCGUAAGUAACUGCGAGUGAAACCGACACAGUCCAAACCGAAGCCCUCACGGGCAAUGUGGUGUCCGGACUGACACUCAGCACCCGACCACUCAAAUGAAGUCUUCUGGAACGGAGCGCGAUACAGGGUGAAAGCCCCGUAAUUUGAGUCACUACGGUGUGCGUCAGCUCCAGAGUAACAGGGAUUGGAAAUUCCUUGUGAAUAUCGCGGGCAUCGACCGCGAAGACUAAACACGACUCGAGACCGAUAGCGAACAAGUAGCGUGAGCGAACACUGAAAAGCACCCCACAACGGGAGGUGCAAUAGAGCCUGAAAUCAGUUGGCGAUCGAGCGAUGAGGCUCGAAAGGCCCUGCAACAAACGACACGAGUGCAAACUCGCAGUAGGACUUGCAGGGAGCCGGUGUCUCAUCGUACGUUUUGAAAAACGAACCAAGGAGUGUGUCUGAUUGACGAGUCUAACCGGUUCAUCCGGGAAGGCAUAGGGAAACCAACAUGGCCGCAGCACUAUGUGCGAGGGCCGCCGUCUUCAAGGGCGGGGAGUCAACCGGACACGACCCGAAACCAGAUGAUCUACGCGUGGGCAAGGUGAAGCGUGCCGAAAGGCACGUGGAGGCCUGUUAGGGAUGGUGUCCUACAAUACCCUCCCGUGACCUACGUGUAGGGGUGAAAGGCCCAUCGAAUCUGGCAACAGCUGGUUCCAACCGAAACAUGUCGAAGCAUGACCUCUGCCGAGGUAGUUCGUGAGGUAGAGCGACCGAUUAGGGGAACCAACUCCGAGAGGAGUUGGUCCCCUUGUCAAACUCCAAACUUACGAACGCCGUCGACGCAGGGAAUCCGGUGUGCGGGGUAAGCCUGUGCACCAGGAGGGGAACAACCCAGAGUCGGGUUAAGGUCCCAAAGUGUAGACUAAGUGCAAUCUGAAGGUGGUCUCAAGCCCUAGACAGCCGGGAGGUGAGCUUAGAAGCAGCUACCCUCUAAGAAAAGCGUAACAGCUUACCGGCCGAGGUUUGAGGCGCCCAAAAUGAUCGGGGCUCAAGUCUACCACCGAGACCUGACCACACCACUAACAUGGUGACUGAGUAGGUUGGCAUUCUGUUUGGAUGGAAGCUCGGGCGAGAGCUCGCGUGGACCGAACAGGAACGAAAAUCUUGGUCAUAGUAGCAGCGUUAGUCGGGUUAGAACCCCGACGGCCUUACGAGCAAGGGUUCCUCGGCAAUGCUGAUCAGCCGAGGGUUAGCCGGUCCUAAGUCUCACCGCAACUCGAAUGAGACAACAGGGAAACAGGUUAAUACUCCUGUGCCAUUAUGCAGUGAAACCAACGCCUUGGGAACCGUCAAGCCGGGCUUUCGCCCGGUCGAAUCCGGGAACUUCGUGGAAGCCGUAACGGCACGAAGCGAACGAAGCCGGAAACAGCGAAAGUUGCUACCUAGGGCCCGUGAAAAGGGAGCAUAGCGUCCGUACCGAGAUCCGACACAGGUGCUCUGGCGGCGAAAGCCAAGGCCUGUCGGGAGCAACCGACGUUAGGGAAUUCGGCAAGUUAGUCCCGUAAGUUCGCGAUAAGGGAUGCCUGCUCCGGAUAGGAGCAGGUCGCAGUGACUCGGACGCUCCGACUGUCUAGUAACAACAUAGGUGACCGCAAAUCCGCAAGGACUCGUACGGUCACUGAAUCCUGCCCAGUGCAGGUAUCUGAACACCCGGUACAACGGGGCGAAGGACCUGUUAACGGCGGGGGUAACUAUGACCCUCUUAAGGUAGCGUAGUACCUUGCCGCUUCAGUAGCGGCUUGCAUGAAUGGAUCAACGAGAGCGUCACUGUCCCAACGUUGGGCCCGGUGAACUGUACGUUCCAGUGCGGAGUCUGGAGACCCCCAAGGGGAAGCGAAGACCCUAUAGAGCUUUACUGCAGGCUGUCGCUGGGACACGGUCGCUGAUGUGCAGCAUAGGUAGGAGCCAUUACACAGGUACCCGCGCUAGCGGGCCACCGAGGCAGCAUUGAAAUACUACCCGUCAGUGACUGUGACCCUCACUCCGGGAGGAAGACACCGGUAGCCGGGCAGUUUGACUGGGGCGGUACACGCUCGAAAAGAUAUCGAGCGUGCCCCAAGAUUUCCUCAUCCGCGUCAGAAACGCGGAACAGAGCGCAAGAGCAAAAGGAAGUCUGACAGUGUCCUCCACAACGAGGGACGCUGACGCGAAAGCGUGGUCUAGCGAACCUAUCAGCCUGCUUGAUGCGGGCGAUAGAUGACAGAAAAGCUACCUUAGGGAUAACAGAGUCGUCACUCGCAAGAGCACAUAUCGACCGAGUGGCUUGCUACCUCGAUGUCGGUUCCCUCCAUCCUGCCCGUGCAGAAGCGGGCAAGGGUGAGGUUGUUCGCCUAUUAAAGGAGGUCGUGAGCUGGGUUUAGACCGUCGUGAGACAGGUCGGCUGCUAUCUAUUGGGGGUGUUACGGUAUCUGACGGGAACAAUCGUAUAGUACGAGAGGAACUACGAUUGGAUGCCACUGGUGUACCGGUCGUCCGAAAGGGCGCGUGCCGGGCAGCCACGCAUCACGGGGUAAGAGCUGAACGCAUCUAAGCUCGAAACCCACCUGGAAAAGAGAUACCACCGAGACCACUCGUAGAAGACGAGUUCAAUAGGCUCGGGAUGUACGCGCCGAGGCAACGAGGCGUUCAGUCCGCGAGUACUAACAGGUCGAGCCACACACU
rnacentral:rRNA from 1 species